rnacentral:rRNA from 1 species
GCGCAGCAGUCGAGAAUACUUUACAAUGUGCGAAAGCACGAUAAGGGAACUCUGAGUGCCUCCUAAGGAGGCUGUUCAGGUGUCUAAAAGCACCUGGAGUAAGGGCUGGGUAAGACCGGUGCCAGCCGCCGCGGUAACACCGGCAGCCCAGGUGGUAGCCACUUUUAUUGGGUCUAAAGCGUCCGUAGCCGGUUGAGUAAGUUCCUUGGGAAAUUUGGCUGCUCAACAGUCAAGCUUCCAGGGAAUACUGCUCGACUUGGGACUGGGAGAGGUCAGAGGUACUCCAGGGGUAGGGGUGAAAAUCCAUUAAUCCCUGGGGGACCACCGGUAGCGAAGGCGUCUGACCAGACCAGGUCCGACGGUGAGGGACGAAGGCUAGGGUCGCGAACCGGAUUAGAUACCCGUGUAGU